rnacentral:rRNA from 1 species
AUACGUAGGGAGCGAGCGUUGUCCGGAAUUACUGGGUGUAAAGGGAGCGUAGGCGGGACUGCAAGUCAGAUGUGAAAUACCGGGGCUUAAACCCGGAGCUGCAUUUGAAACUGUGGUUCUUGAGUGAAGUAGAGGCAAGCGGAAUUCCUGGUGUAGCGGUGAAAUGCGUAGAUAUCAGGAGGAACACCGGUGGCGAAGGCGGCUUGCUGGGCCUUUACUGACGCUGAGGCUCGAAAGCGUGGGUAGCAAACAGGAUUAGAUACCCUGGUAGUCCACGUUGUAAACGAUGAUUACUAGGUGUGGGGGGACUGACCCCUUCCGUGCCGCAGUUAACACAAUAAGUAACCCACCUGGGGAGUACGGCCGCAAGGUUGAAACUCAAAUGAAUUGACGGGG